rnacentral:rRNA from 1 species
AAAGCGUGCGCAGGCGGUUAUGUAAGACAGAUGUGAAAUCCCCGGGCUCAACCUGGGAACUGCAUUUGUGACUGCAUGGCUAGAGUACGGUAGAGGGGGAUGGAAUUCCGCGUGUAGCAGUGAAAUGCGUAGAUAUGCGGAGGAACACCGAUGGCGAAGGCAAUCCCCCGGACCUGUACUGACGCUCAUGCACGAAAGCGUGGGGAGCAAACAGGAUUAGAUACCCCUGU